UAAAGUUAUGUUUAUUAUAACUAUAAGGUUAUGUUAAAAUUUUAAAGGUUAAAUUUUAAAGUUUUAUUUAAGCUUAUUUGUUUGGUAAUUGGUGAUUUUACAUGCAAGUUUUAAUUUAAAGAAGAUUUUAGGCAGUGAAUAAAUUUAAUGAUUAAAGAUAUUUAGAAUUAGAUAUUCAUAAAAGUAUAAACAAAUCUUGUGCCAGCAGUUGCGGUUAAACAUGAUAUACUUCCAAAUUUGGUUCGGGUGAUAAUUAUCUUUUUUUAUAAGGAAAUGAGAAUUAAUUUUAUAAGGUGAAAUUUUAUAAUUAAUUAAAUUUAUUUUUAGAUGAAAAAUUAUUAGAUUUUUAAAAUAAACUAGGAUUAGAUACCCUAUUAUUAGAAAUAUAAAAUUAUACCCCUGAGAAGUACUAGUUGUUCUUGAAAUUUAAAAAAUUUGGCGGUGUUUUAGUCUGUUCAGAGGAACCUGUCCUGUAAUUGAUAAUCCACGAUUAAUUAAACUUGUUUUUUUAGUUUGUAUAUCGUCGUUAUUUGAAUAUCUUUCAAAGGGAAAAUAUUCAAUAUUUAGAAUUUUUAAUUUAAAUCAGAUCAAGGUGCAGUUUACGAAUAAGGAGAGAUGGGUUACAAUAAAUGUAUUUAUAUGGUUUGGAAGGUGAAAUUUUUACAAUAAAUAGGAUUUGAUAGUAAGAUGAAUUAUUUAAUUUGUUUGAUUAAAGCUCUAGAAUAUGCACAUAUCGCCCGUCGCUCCUAUUAUAAAAUAGGAUAAGUCGUAACAUAGUAGGUGUACCGGAAGGUGUACCUGGAAAGA
rnacentral:ncRNA from 1 species